rnacentral:rRNA from 1 species
UACGUAGGGCGCGAGCGUUGUCCGGAAUUAUUGGGCGUAAAGAGCUCGUAGGCGGCCUGUUGCGUCUGCUGUGAAAUCCCGGGGCUUAACCCCGGGCGUGCAGUGGAUACGGGCAGGCUGGAGGCAGGCAGGGGAGAAUGGAAUUCCCGGUGUAGCGGUGAAAUGCGCAGAUAUCGGGAGGAACACCGGUGGCGAAGGCGGUUCUCUGGGCCUGUUCUGACGCUGAGGAGCGAAAGCGUGGGGAGCAAACAGG